GAAAACAGACAAGGAAGCCUUCAUUCUAUUAGAAGACAGACAAUGAAGGAGUAAAUAACUAAAACAGCCAAUGGUCAGAGUCUGGAUAAUACUGUAUUUUGAGUUUGGAGCUUAUUCAAUUUUCUGAAGGAUUGGAUGAAAAGUAUGAUAGGAAAUGAGGAAUCCAGGAUGACCGUAUGAAUGUCUACGAAGUCCAUGGCAAAAUAACUGGAGCUUACGUAACAUUAACUUGGCUGGCUGAUGGCACUCGCACCCCCACGCCUAUUGCAAACCAGGUGGACCAAGCAGUAGCAAUGUCUGCCACUACUUGGGGGGAGGGGGGGAUGGCCACACCUGCGGGAUGCCUACAGCACAAGUUUUACACGGAAACAAAAGUCUUUUAUUUGGGAAUGAGGUUGGAGUUUUGUUCAUUUGUUUGUUCUGGAGAGCCACAUACUGGUGGAGAAAAGGCAGCCUGCUCAGAGACAAGGCUAGAGAUUUCAAUCUAGAGGUGGGCACUUCUUUCUGAAGCCUUUACACUUCUCUUCCACUACCUUCUGAGAUAGAACACCAGCCCACCACUUUCUACCUUCUUCUAAAUACUCCAUCUGCCAGGCCUUGACUUCAUUUUUUGAAAAGUGGCUACAAAUAAAUGCUGCUUGCUUGCACCACUA